UGGUCUAGGAAUGGAAGUGAAUGAAUGACUAAAGACAUAGCGAUAGGUCCAGAGCAGAUCUGAGUAGCAAGCGGUUCAGCAGUCACAGGGACAUCCUGGUUCCACCUUAGUAGAAUUUUAGAUUCAUGCCCAGGAAGACACGAGGCAAGCACGUAGGAAGUGUGUGUUGUCAUUGCCCUCCCCCUUGUUGUGAAAGCAGCAGGAUGCUCGGGCCGUGCAUCACACACCCAGCACAGGAUAAAAGGGCUUCUGCUCUGAACUGCGCAUCCACAGCCUACUCAGGAGCAUCCUUCUCCUGCCUCCACUGCAACGGCUCACUGACCUCCCGCCGAGAUGUCCUGCCAGCAGAACCAGCAGCAGUGCCAGCCCCCUCCCAAGUGCCCCUCCCCCAAGUGUCCCCCAAAGAGCCCAGCACAGUGUCUGCCUCCAGCCUCCUCGGGCUGUGCUCCCCGCUCUGAGGGCAGCUGCUGCCUGGGCCCACACAGGCGCCCCAGGUCCCACCGCUGCCGGCGCCAGAGCUCCGACUCCUGUGAUGGUGACGGUGGUCUGCAGUCCGGGCGCUCUGGCUGUGGCCAGGGAUCUGGAGGCUGCUGCUGACCUGGCCUCCUGAUGCUGAGACACAUGAUUUCAGAGGAAACAAGAAGCCAAAAGCCAAGGAAAAGCCCCAGCUUGAUGCAUCCUUUCUUGGACACCCUGGUAUUUGCUUCCCAGGCUGACUAGCUGAAAUGUUCACAGCAGGGUGGUACGCUAUCCCUAUAAGGCUCUAAGGUAUAUUUCCCAGGAGCCCGUGGGCUCCCCUGCUCUGUGCCUCACAAUGUUCUCACUGCUGUUUGACCACAUAGAGAAAUAAAACCUCUUCUCACACCACAUGCCUCUCACCUGUCCAUUGACUGCUCCACCCAAGGCUGCCCGGUGGGCCCCUCCCUUGGUUCCUGAAGGUCCGGCUUGCCUGCACCAGGGAAUGAUCCUGGCAGGAACCUGGCACAUUAAUAGGUCUGCUCUUCCUCACAUGGGUUUGUGGGGGUCUCCCAGUGGGAGUUUUGGGGGUGGCAGGUGAGAGAAGAGGAGCUGUCUGGUUGCUGAGAACACUCUCAGAAAAAGGCCACGUAUAACAUGGGAGAGGAGGGAUGAGCUGUCCUCAGAAUCCGUUUCUCUGUUGAGGCUAGUGUGAAGGAUCAGACAUUGAGGAAAAUGAGACCAAAGAGGAUGGAGGACUUGGAGGCAGAAAGAAAGACCUGGUAGAGAAAGAGCAAGUUCAUCUGAAAAUAAGGAACUUGGGAGAGAGAGAUGAACUGGUCAGGCAGUGAACUCUCAAGAAACCCAAAGUGAGGGCUUUCUUGGAAAGAAUACAUGGGGCAUCCAGCAAAUGAGAGCCUCUCGGCUUUGAGAAAACAGAAAAAAAGAGGACAUGAGAAGCAUCUCAGAGGGUUACAGACUGGACGCUUGUACAUUUUUUUCAAGAGAUUUGAUGUAGAAUGGAACUCAUUUGCAUUAUUUUUUGGCUAUUGAAUGCUAGUUUUCAAAUCCAAUAGUAGUAAAGAAUCAUUCACUCAGAUAACUGGAGUUGAUUCUGGCUUCAGCUGUAUGCUUUAUUCCUGGCCUCUCUAGGAUGAUAAUGAUCUCAGAGUGGUCCUGAGACUCUUCACAUGGUACCUCCCAAAGACAGCAUCCCAAGAGGACCAGGAGGAAUCUGUAUGACCUUUCAUGGUCCAGGCUCAGAAGUUACACAGCGUCACUUCUACCAUAUUCUGUGGGUUAGAGCUGUCAUAAGCCUGUCUAGAUUCAAGAGGAGGGAAUGCAGACUUUAUUUCUCAAUGAGAAGAAAGUCAAGGAAUUUUUAGCUAUGUUUUAAAAUUAUCUCAAUGGGUAUCUUGACCACUAACCUCACUUCUUUCCAGCUCACAUUAUCUAUUCUUGAAGCCUUAGCAUAAAUUUUGAAAAGGCUCAAAUACUGGCCAUAAUUACAAAAUAUUCAAGUUUUAAAGAGAAAGACUGUUCCCACAACCUUUGUGUAUCUAGAAAGUUCAGAAUCAUUAUUG
ensembl:lincRNA